rnacentral:Y_RNA from 1 species
GGCUGGUCCCAGUGCGGUGGUGUUUACAACUAAAUGAUCACAGCCAGUUACAGAUUCCUUUGUUCCUUCUUCACUUCCACUGCUUCGCUUGACUAGCUAAAA